rnacentral:rRNA from 1 species
GCUGGCSGSCAUGCCUUAUACAUGCAAGUCGAMCGGGAAGACUUGUCUUUCCMGUGGCGAACGGGUGAGUAACGCGUAGACACUGCCUUAAGACGAGGAUAACGGCUGGAAACGGCUGCUAAUACUGGAUAGGAUAAAGAGUCGCAUGACUUUUUAUUUAAAGGCGCGCUGCGCCGCUUAAAGAGAGGUCUACGUCGCAUUAGCUAGUUGGUGGGGUAACGGCUCACCGAGGCGACGAUGCGUAGCUGUGCUGAGAGGCAGAACAGCCACACUGGGACUGAGACACGGCCCAGACUCCUACGGGAGGCAGCAGUAGGGAAUUUUCGGCAAUGGGGGCAACCCUGACCGAGCAAUGCCGCGUGAACGACGAAGGUCUUCGGAUCGUAAAGUUCUGUGAUUGGGGAAGAACAGCAUGAUCAGGAAAUGGGUCAUGUUUGACGGUACCCGAUUAGAAAGCCCCGGCUAACUAUGUGCCAGCAGCCGCGGUAAAACAUAGGGGGCGAGCGUUAUCCGGAAUUAUUGGGCGUAAAGAGUACGUAGGCGGCCUGUUAAGUCUGAUGUGAAAUCCCGCGGCUUAACCGCGGAGGGUCAUUGGAAACUGGCAGGCUUGAGUACGGCAGGGGUAAGUGGAAUUCCAAGUGGAGCGGUGAAAUGCGUAGAUAUUUGGAGGAACACCAGUGGCGAAGGCGGCUUACUGGGCCGGAACUGACGCUGAGGUACGAAAGCGUGGGGARCAAACAGGAUUAGAUACCCUGGUAGUCCACGCCGUAUUCUUUGAUCACUAAGUGUCGG